AAACCAUGAUGAGGACAAAGACGCUGCAGAUCCUUGAAUCUCUCCCAAGCUUCAUACAAUGACUCGUAAGAUCCUGGGUGAAAGUUACUAUGGCAUGACGCAUUUCUGUAGUCU
rfam:Beta vulgaris subsp. vulgaris chromosome 5, whole genome shotgun sequence.